rfam:Aspergillus flavus AF70 542, whole genome shotgun sequence.
UGGAGAACAGGGCUUCCCGUCCGCUCAGCCGUACUUAAGCCACACGCCGGGAGGUUAGUAGUUGGGUGGGUGACCACCAGCGAAUCCCUCCUGUUGUAUGUU